AUACGUAGGGGGCGAGCGUUGUCCGGAUUUAUUGGGCGUAAAGGGUGCGUAGGCGGCCUUGUAAGUCAGAUGUGAAAGAUCAUGGCUUAACUGUGGUAAGCAUUUGAAACUGCAGGGCUUGAGUACAGGAGAGGAGAGUGGAAUUCCUAGUGUAGCGGUGAAAUGCGUAGAUAUUAGGAGGAACACCAGUGGCGAAGGCGACUCUCUGGACUGAUACUGACGCUGAGGCACGAAAGCGUGGGGAGCAAACAGGAUUAGAUACCCUGGUAGUCCACGCUAUAAACGAUGAGUGCUAGGUGUCGGGGGUCAAACCUCGGUGCCGCAGUUAACACAUUAAGCACUCCGCCUGGGGAGUACGGCCGCAAGGCUGAAACUCAAAGGAAUUGACGGG
rnacentral:rRNA from 1 species